AAUCCAUGCAUCAGACAUUUUCAAAUUAACUCCUUAAAUUGUUCCAAAGCUUCGUAUAAUAUCUCGUCCUCCAUAUGCUGAAAAGAUGUAAUAUCAUUUCUCAGCUU
rfam:Gossypium raimondii chromosome 5, whole genome shotgun sequence.